GCUUUGGUAGUUGAAUAACAACGGUGGUUUUUCGAGUCGCAGGUCUUGGAUGAAGGCCAAGCUAAAGUA
rnacentral:tRNA from 1 species